GAUGAACGCUGGCGGCGUGCCUAAUACAUGCAAGUCGAGCGAACGGACGAGAAGCUUGCUUCUCUGAUGUUAGCGGCGGACGGGUGAGUAACACGUGGAUAACCUACCUAUAAGACUGGGAUAACUUCGGGAAACCGGAGCUAAUACCGGAUGAUAUUUUGAACCGCAUGGUUCAAAAGUGAAAGACGGUCUUGCUGUCACUUAUAGAUGGAUCCGCGCUGCAUUAGCUAGUUGGUAAGGUAACGGCUUACCAAGGCAACGAUGCAUAGCCGACCUGAGAGGGUGAUCGGCCACACUGGAACUGAGACACGGUCCAGACUCCUACGGGAGGCAGCAGUAGGGAAUCUUCCGCAAUGGGCGAAAGCCUGACGGAGCAACGCCGCGUGAGUGAUGAAGGUCUUCGGAUCGUAAAACUCUGUUAUUAGGGAAGAACAUAUGUGUAAGUAACUGUGCACAUCUUGACGGUACCUAAUCAGAAAGCCACGGCUAACUACGUGCCAGCAGCCGCGGUAAUACGUAGGUGGCAAGCGUUAUCCGGAAUUAUUGGGCGUAAAGCGCGCGUAGGCGGUUUUUUAAGUCUGAUGUGAAAGCCCACGGCUCAACCGUGGAGGGUCAUUGGAAACUGGAAAACUUGAGUGCAGAAGAGGAAAGUGGAAUUCCAUGUGUAGCGGUGAAAUGCGCAGAGAUAUGGAGGAACACCAGUGGCGAAGGCGACUUUCUGGUCUGUAACUGACGCUGAUGUGCGAAAGCGUGGGGAUCAAACAGGAUUAGAUACCCUGGUAGUCCACGCCGUAAACGAUGAGUGCUAAGUGUUAGGGGGUUUCCGCCCCUUAGUGCUGCAGCUAACGCAUUAAGCACUCCGCCUGGGGAGUACGACCGCAAGGUUGAAACUCAAAGGGAUUGACGGGGACCCGCACAAGCGGUGGAGCAUGUGGUUUAAUUCGAAGCAACGCGAAGAACCUUACCAAAUCUUGACAUCCUUUGACAACUCUAGAGAUAGAGCCUUCCCCUUCGGGGGACAAAGUGACAGGUGGUGCAUGGUUGUCGUCAGCUCGUGUCGUGAGAUGUUGGGUUAAGUCCCGCAACGAGCGCAACCCUUAAGCUUAGUUGCCAUCAUUAAGUUGGGCACUCUAAGUUGACUGCCGGUGACAAACCGGAGGAAGGUGGGGAUGACGUCAAAUCAUCAUGCCCCUUAUGAUUUGGGCUACACACGUGCUACAAUGGACAAUACAAAGGGCAGCGAAACCGCGAGGUCAAGCAAAUCCCAUAAAGUUGUUCUCAGUUCGGAUUGUAGUCUGCAACUCGACUACAUGAAGCUGGAAUCGCUAGUAAUCGUAGAUCAGCAUGCUACGGUGAAUACGUUCCCGGGUCU
rnacentral:rRNA from 1 species